CCUACGGGUGGCAGCAGUGAGGAAUAUUGGUCAAUGGACGAGAGUCUGAACCAGCCAAGUAGCGUGAAGGAUGACUGCCCUAUGGGUUGUAAACUUCUUUUAUCUGGGAAUAAAACGUUCCACGUGUGGGAUUUUGUAUGUACCAUAUGAAAAAGCAUCGGCUAACUCCGUGCCAGCAGCCGCGGUAAUACGGAGGAUCCGAGCGUUAUCCGGAUUUAUUGGGUUUAAAGGGAGCGUAGGUGGAUUGUUAAGUCAGCUGUGAAAGUUUGCGGCUCAACCGUAAAAUUGCAGUUGAAACUGGCAGUCUUGAGUACAGUAGAAGUGGGCGGAAUGCGUGGUGUAGCGGUGAAAUGCUUAGAUAUCACGAAGAACUCCGAUUGCGAAGGCAGUUCACUGGACUGCAACUGACACUGAGGCUCGAAAGUGUGGGUAUCAAACAGGAUUAGAUACCCUUGUAGUC
rnacentral:rRNA from 1 species